AUUGAACGCUGGCGGCAUGCUUUACACAUGCAAGUCGAACGGUAACAGGGAGCUUGCUCCGCUGACGAGUGGCGAACGGGUGAGUAAUGCGUCGGAACGUGCCGAGUAGUGGGGGAUAACGCAUCGAAAGGUGUGCUAAUACCGCAUACGAACUGAGGUUGAAAGUGGGGGACCUUCGGGCCUCACGCUAUUCGAGCGGCCGACGUCUGAUUAGCUAGUUGGUGAGGUAAAGGCUCACCAAGGCGACGAUCAGUAGCGGGUCUGAGAGGAUGAUCCGCCACACUGGGACUGAGACACGGCCCAGACUCCGACGGGAGGCAGCAGUGGGGAAUUUUGGACAAUGGGCGCAAGCCUGAUCCAGCCAUGCCGCGUGUCUGAAGAAGGCCUUCGGGUUGUAAAGGACUUUUGUCCGGGAGCAAAUGCUGGUGGCUAACAUCCACCGGAGCUGAGAGUACCGGAAGAAUAAGCACCGGCUAACUACGUGCCAGCCGCCGCCGUAAACC
rnacentral:rRNA from 1 species